rnacentral:rRNA from 1 species
UGGGGAAUAUUGGGCAAUGGGCGCAAGCCUGACCCAGCAACGCCGCGUGAAGGAAGAAGGCUUUCGGGUUGUAAACUUCUUUUAUUAGGGACGAUAAUGACGGUACCUAUUGAAUAAGCUCCGGCUAACUACGUGCCAGCAGCCGCGGUAAAACGUAGGGUGCAAGCGUUGUCCGGAAUUACUGGGUGUAAAGGGAGCGCAGGCGGGAAGACAAGUUGGAAGUGAAAACCAUGGGCUCAACCCAUGAAUUGCUUUCAAAACUGUUUUUCUUGAGUAGUGCAGAGGUAGAUGGAAUUCCCGGUGUAGCGGUGGAAUGCGUAGAUAUCGGGAGGAACACCAGUGGCGAAGGCGGUCUACUGGGCACCAACUGACGCUGAGGCUCGAAAGCAUGGGUAGCAAACAGGAUUAGAUACCCUGGUAGUCCACACCGUAAACGAUGAUUACUAGGUGUUGGAGGAUUGACCCCUUCAGUGCCGCAGUUAACACAAUAAGUAAUCCACCUGGGGAGUACGACCGCAAGGUUGAAACUCAAAGGAAUUGACGGGGGCCCGCACAAGCAGUGGAGUAUGUGGUUUAAUUCGACGCAACGCGAAGAACCUUACCAAGUCUUGACAUCCCUUGACGAACAUAGAAAUAUGUUUUCUCUUCGGAGCAAGGAGACAGGUGGUGCAUGGUUGUCGUCAGCUCGUGUCGUGAGAUGUUGGGUUAAGUCCCGCAACGAGCGCAACCCUUAUGGUCAGUUACUACGCAAGAGGACUCUGGCCAGACUGCCGUUGACAAAACGGAGGAAGGUGGGGAUGACGUCAAAUCAUCAUGCCCUUUAUGACUUGGGCUACACACGUACUACAAUGGCGUUAAACAAAGAGAAGCAAGACCGCGAGGUGGAGCAAAACUCAGAAACAACGUCCCAGUUCGGACUGCAGGCUGCAACUCGCCUGCACGAAGUCGGAAUUGCUAGUAAUCGUGGAUCAGCAUGCCACGGUGAAUACGUUCCC